rnacentral:pre_miRNA from 1 species
UGGAAGACUAGUGAUUUUGUUGUUUUAAUUUCAGUAUUAACAAUAAAUCACAUUCUUCCCAGA